rnacentral:lncRNA from 1 species
UCAUGCGAGUCUCGAUCUGUAAAUCUAGGGUUUGACUUUUCGUUUAUAUGGUGUUUCUCUGAGUUUUUAUUGCUUUUAUUGUGGCUUCUAUUUUAAUGGAGUUGGGGAUCGGUGUGAAGGAAGAAGAAGUAGAUAAAAACAAAGGAAACAAAAGGGUUGGUCGCCGACGUUUGACCUGACGGCCGAAGAGGAAGAGGACACAGGGAUGGCUGAGAGGAGGUAAAACUUUGUUUUAACUUUUAGUUAAUUUAUUUCAAAAAAUAGAAAUGAAAAAAGACUAGACUUUAUAAUCUUAUUUAAGGUGAACGAAGAAAGAAGACUUAGAUUUGACCCACUGGAGGAGAUCGAUCGAAAAAAAAAACGAAGAAGAGGAAAGACACUCUUAGGAAAGGUAAAACACUUAAAAUCUAAAUAUUCUAGUUUUCCAUGGUAGAAACUGUUUUGUUAUUAAGGUUAAAAUAUGUAGAUUGAAAGUGAAAUUUUGAAUGUCCUAUUAUUGAACCGAAUUUAGUAAUCUAAACACCAUAAAAAUGACUUAUUUGUUUGAAUGAUUUGAUCAUUUUUUACAUUUAAUAAAAUUCCAGUAAUCAUUAUUAGAAGAAAAUGCUCAUGUUUUGCUUGAUUGUAGUGCCACAAGUUCAAUCCUUGUAUGGUAAUUGAGUUUUGAUGCAAUCAUAAUAAAGGAACACAGAGAUACGAGUGGUAUAUGAAUAUUUGAAAAAUCGAAAAGAUGUUUUGUUUAGGAGGACCAACUUUUGAAAGCUGACUUUGUUCUUCUUUUGCAGUGUGGAUCACCCCUUGGCUGCUGGCUCUAGAAACAUAGGAAUUUGGAAGCUUUGAGUCCCCAAAGUUUCGGCUAGAAGCGCUUUGUAUUUUUCUGUUUAUUUUUGUCCAUUUUCUUUUGUAGUGGGAUUGUGUGUAAUAGGAUUGGGGUGUAGUGGGAAUGGGGUUUAGUGAGAUUGGGUAGAGCUCUUUUGUUGUCAUCGGUAGAUCCGUUCUUCUUCGUUUUAUCUCCUCCCUUUCGCGAAAAAAAUGGUGGUCUUUUUAAACGAAAAUAAGGGCUGCCACCACACUUGUCUUCCAACCGGAUUUUGACAUCCAUUACUAACACAAAGGGAGGUGGCCUGUCCCUGUUGACUAAUAAAAACGGGCCCAAAUUGAGUCUGAAAUCGGGCAUGAAAUUUGGUAUAAAAUCGAUCCCGAAAAUUUGAUGUAAAAUAGAGCUACAAAAUAAUAAAAACUCGAGGACCUGAAAUUUUUUUUGUUACUACAUCAUCAGUGGUGACUUGCUAUAAAUCAUUACAAGCAUCAAACUCGUAAGAAGGCAUAGAUUUUGCUGAAUCGCUUCUACUCCUUUGGGGAAGCGAAGCAGGUUCUUCAAACAGAGGGUAUUGACGAGUACCAUCGGAUUGUUCUAGUAUGUAGUGAUAGGAUUGUCGAUUCAUGAUGAUUGAUUAUGUGUUUUUCUAUCUUGUUGCCUUGAUUGUCCCUUUUCCUUUCGAUUCACAGUUUCCUCAAUUUUCCAAUUUUUUUAUUUUCUUGUGAGAUUGAUUGCUGAGUUGAUUGUUGAGCGGAUGUUUAUGAGCGUUGCGAG